ACAAGGUCAGAAUGGACAUGGGGAUACUGUGUAUACAGACACUAAAAGAAAGAGCCUGGAACAUCCCUGUAGCCAUCCCUGAACAUUAUAAAAUAAACCAAUUUAAGUUCAUUAUAGAUAUAGACCAAUGCAAGUGGAUCUGUAUUAUAAACCCGAAAUCCAGUCUCCAUGCCACAUGCAAAGCAUCCUGGGGCAAAAUAAGGAAUCUUGAAACAAACAAUGGCAAGCAAUUUGCUGAGAAUAUUAAACUAUUGCCCCUGAUUCCUGCAAAACUCAUCCUGGUUUAGUCAUCGUCCUGCUGUGUUAGAAGCCCAGGCAGAACACAAUGCAAGGGGAUCAGAAAGAGGAAAAGAUGUGAAUCAGGAUUACUCACUUUUUAUUCUUGGUGGGUUUACAUCAUAUUUUAAGUUAUGUUGUAAUCACCACAUACACACACACGGACACUUACUCUUCUUUGUAGCUGCUGAGCUCAUUACUAUUGCAGCACUUCCACAUUGAGCCACAAGGGACUACUACUAACUUGAUUCAGCCCGACACAGACCCACAAUGCAAUUCUGUGAGAGUCACGAGAAGAUUCCGUGAUCAGCCUUGAACAGCAGCUGCCUCUGAUGUUUGUACAAUGAGGCUACUAUAUAGCCUUGCAGGCUGUGCCUGGGUGUAAAUGUGAACUGUAUGUCAACAAGAAUAAAAGUGCACAACUGAACUAAAA